CUCCAGCACGCACACACAGCGCCUCCCCCUCCAGCACGCACACACAACGCCUCCUCCUCCUCCACUUCCUCCAUCCUGCUCCGUCCUCCAGCGCCGCCCCCUCCAACGUCUCCUCUCCUCGGCCACCUCUAGAUGAAGGACAAUUGUGUCUCCAUCAGUUCCUAGGUUACCAGCUCUUCUUUGCCGCUAAAGCACCCUGCAACAUCCUCUGCAUCAAGCAUAAGGAAAUACCUCUACAUCAGGAAAAGCAUGGCAAGCGGAGGAGGAAAUGUGAAUAAUACUGCUAGAAACAAAUACGAGCAAGAACGUGCAGAAAAGAUCAAGACAAAUAAUAUAGCUCUACAGGCUGUCAUUGAGAAGAGUAGAGAGUUGACUAACCUAACUAAGGGAAAUCUUGGGUCCACCUCUACUCAUCAGCAAAGAAAAAGAAAGGUCAUAAGCAGAAGAGACGUUGAAGUUCUGUUGGAUCUGAAGUACAUCGAUACGAAGUUAUUCCAGAAUUGAAUUGCGAUUGAAGAUGUCAAAUAUUGGCUGCAGUUUUUUUGUCUGCUAAUGCACCAUAGUUCUGUAUAGGAGAAUUGGAUAGUUACUGCACUUUUACCAGCUUUGCUAAAAAGCGAUAGCUUAUUUGUGUUGAAUGAUAGGAGUUACACUCUUAUAUAUAAUUCAGGUGAAUGUAAUCAAUAGUUUGGAAUUUAUGUGGGAUAAAAUUGGAUUUAUAUAUGUGUAUGUUCAACCUGAGUUGCUGUAUGUGUGGUGGAUCUCUUGUAGUUUCAAUUAAAUUCAGUACUCCUUCACGCAUUGUUUGCA